UACUCAUCGAGCUGAGGCCUUUUAGGCAGCAAGGCGAUUUUUCUAACGUGCUGCUCAGAAAGGUAAAUAUGAUAUUAAGUUGUAUGAAAGCAUGAUCAUGUUCCUUCAAAAUGCUAAAAAAAAAGUCAACUUUUAAGAACCAUGCUUAAAUGCCUUUUACAACCGUGGAAAAAUUAGAACUUUAAAAAUUUACUAUUAUCAAAAGUUUUUAAAGAAGGACUCAACAUAGGAAGGAUCAUAAAUCAGAUGUCUAAAGCAAAUAUAUAAAUGAAAUAAAUAUUAUAAUGAUUUUUGAAUUACACAAAAUCACAAUGAAAACCGGAAGAUUCCAUUGGCGACAAUAUGUCAGAAAAAGAAUGACUUAGUUUGCUGAAGUCUCUCCUAUCGCAGAAGGCGGCAAUCAAGCUUUAAUCUUAUAGUUUUGAUAAAUUUCUAAACCCUGUCAAAACUGAAUAAUUACAUGAUUGUCAAAAGAAUAGUUUAGUUAUCAAAAUUUGUUUUACUUCAAUUCAUGACAUAUGAAAAAGAUGAAAUUCCCGGAGAAGCGGAAACCUCUCAUCAAACACACAGUAACAUGUAGGAAGACGGAAAUUCAAAUUUGAAACUUAAACUUUGAACUGUGUUAUUGUUUAACAUCAUUAAAACGGAAAUAUAUGUAUCAACAAUAUAUCAAUUUUGAGAAAAAUCUAUGCAUUGGUGAUUGACGAUUUAAUUAUUUUAAGACAAAUUUAAAUACGUUUUCGUCUAUUUAAUGUGGUUUCUAUACAAAAGUGCACCUUUUUUAAUAGGAUAACUUUCGUAAUGUUUCAGAAAAUUAAACAGAUAAAUGCUUUUCUUUUUUUUCCAUAUUUAGUUGUAGUUAAACGAGCCCAAGUUGCAUGCAAAAUGUUACCAAAAUAUGUGAUAUAGCUCAUUUACUUUAACUUGACUUUAAUUGAAUUUACUGUUUAUGAAAACUGCAUGUUGACAGAGUGUUACGUAUUAGUAAUUGAAUUGUAUUAUAUAUUUUUUUUUCAAAGUCAUUUCUUAAAUUGCAACGAAAAUAAUAUCGUAAAGGAUAACUCAUGUGCUCCAUUUUUUACUUGAGUAAAACGGUUCCUCAGUAUGGUGUCACACCACUAAUUCAUUCAAUUAGCAUUUAGAAAAAUGUAAAUAAAAUUGAGAAAGGAAAUGGGGAAUGUGUCAAAGCGACAACAACCCGACCAUAGAGCAGACAACAGCCGAAGGCCACCAAUGGGUCUUCAAUGUAGCGAGAAAACCUACUCUGACAAAUAAAUGAAACUUCACUUAGGGACUGUAAGGUCAAGGAUCAGUAAAUGAAACAAUGUCUACAAGUUGACGCAAUAAAAGAUGUAAAAUUUAGAACUCAAUUAGAUAUUGAAAAUAUACAUCAGAAAAUGUAAAAAAAAGUGUAUGUCACCGAUGGUCCGAGAGGGUACUAAAAUUACAUUGAAUAUAUAGGGGAAAUCUAUAUUUUUCUUCUACAAUUUUCGGUUUCCGGUAUAAAUCGCGUGAACCGCUCCAUAGAAAUUUUUUUUAAAUUCAUUUUUUUCUUCCUCUUUGUCUGUCGAAUUAGAUGAUAUUAACAAAAAUAUGGUUACCGACUUCGUUUUCCCUGUAGAAGCGACGCAAAUCCAACAUUUUGGCAAAAAAAAACAUCAAAAUUCGUGACGUCGUAAUUUUUAUUACAUGUAUAACGUCAAGUUCUCAUGCUAAUAAUUUCGUUGAUUAUGCACGAUGAUUAUGUGUUUCGUAUUGAUAGAUUCUUUUUAUCAUAAGAGUCUGGAUAAUUAUCAUUAUCAUAUACUUAGACUAAAUAACAUAUGAUUUUUACCGUAUGAUAAUAGCAUUAAAUUAAAGUAUUUUCCGAAUUGGUGCUUAGCGGGCUGAUAUGAAAAGUUUAUCACAUGCUUCGAUUGUUAUCACAUGCCUUUCCGUAACGUUAUCACAUGGCAUUCCGGUAAUACUCGGCCAAUUCCGGAAAAUACACCUCAAGUGCUACGUUUCAGUGAAAAACAUUACAAAGUAGUGUACAAAACAAUUAUUUGAAUACUGGAAAGUAUAUUGUUUAAAAUAAUAAUAAUUAAAAAAAAAAAAAACAAAUAUUUAAAUAAAUGCAUUUUUUAAAGUUUUUCUGAAACAUAAUUUAGAAAGUUUCUUUAAAAAAGUUGACUUUUCCAAACAAUGAUCAUUAUGUGUAUGUUGUUGAAUUAUUUUUUUGUAGAUUCGUCCAUAUUAAAUGUUUUUUUUUCUCUCUGUUGAGGCAUACGAUAGAAAGAUUUGAUAUUGAAUGUAUCAAAUUUUGGGUCCGACGUCCGUGAACUUUUUACUCUUUAACUUCUUUCGGGAAACCACGUAAAAGGAUCAAAUAUAUGAAUCUGUUAUUUUUCUCUACUGUUGAAGAAUAUGAUAAAAAGAUCAUAACAUGUCAUUUUUCAUAUCGCAUGUAUUAUCAGCCCUCGGUCAAUAUCAGCCCUCGAGCCAUGCGGCUCUUGGGCUGAUAUUGAACCUAGGGCUGAUAAUACAUGCGAUAUGAAAAAUGUCAUGUAAUAAUCUGAUAUUAUCAUAUACUUAGACUCAAUAACAUAAGAUUUUUACCGUAUGAUAAUAGCAUUAAAUUAACGUAUAUUCCAUAUUUUUCAAAUUGGUGCUUAGCGGGCUGUUAUGAAAAGUUUAUCAUAUACUUAGACUAAAUAACAUAUAAAUUUUACCGUAUGAUAAUAGCAUUAAAUUGACGUAAAUUCCAUAUUUUUUGAAUUGGUGCUUAGCGGGCUGAUAUGAAAAGUUUAUCACAUGCUUCGAUUGUUAUCACAUGCCUUUCCGUAACGUUAUCACAUGGCAUUCCGGUAAUACUCGGCAAAUUCCGGAAAAUACACCUCAGUGCUACGUUUUCAGUGAAAAACAUUACAAAGUAGUGUACAAAACAAUUACUUGAAUACUGGAAAGUAUAUUGUUUAAAAUGAUAAUAAUAAAAAAAACCAAACAAAUUAUUUAAUAAAUGCAUUUUUUAAAGUUUUUCUGAAACAUAAUUUAGAAAGUUUCUUUAAAAAGUUGACUUUUCCAAACAAUGAUCAUUAUGUGUAUUGUUGAAUUAUUUUUUUGUAGAUUCGUCCAUAUUAAAAUGUUUUUUUUCCUCUCUCUGUUGAGGCAUACGAUAGAAAGAUUUGAUAUUGAAUGUAUCAAAUUUUGGGUCCGAAGGCCGUGAACUUUUUUACUCUUUAAAUUUCGGGAACCAUGUAAAAGGACCAAUAUAUGAAUCUGUUAUUUUUCUCUACUGUUGAAGCAUAUGAUAAAAAGAUCAUAACAUGUCAUUUUUCAUAUCGCAUGUAUUAUCAGCCCUCGAGCCAUGCGGCUCUUGGGCUGAUAUUGAACCUAGGGCUGAUAAUACAUGCGAUAUGAAAAAUGCCAUGUAAUAAUCUGAUAUUAUCACAUGCUUCGAUUGUUAUCACAUGCCUUUCCGUAACGUUAUCACAUGGCAUUCCGGUGAUACUCGGCAAAUUCCGAAAAAUACACCUCAAUGCUACGUUUUCAGUGAAAAAACAUUACAAAGUAGUGUACAUUACAAUUAUUAGAAUACUGGAAAGUAUAUUGUGUAAAAUAAUACUAAAAAAAAAAAAAAAAAAAAAAAAAAUAUUAAAUAAAUGCAUUUUUUUUUAAAGUUUCACUGAAACAUAAUUUAGAAAGUUUCUUUAAAAUAAAAAUUCCAAACAAUUAAUGUUCAUUAUGUAUAUUGUUGAAUUAUUUUUUGUCGAUUCGUCCAUAUUAAAAUGUUAUUUUUUUCUCUAUUGAGGCAUAUGAUAGAAAGAUUUCAUAUCGAAAUGUGUAUAAAAUUUUUGGUCUGACGUCCGUGAACUUUUCACUCUUUGAACUUCUGUUUGGGAACCACGUAAAAGGAUCAAUCCAUGAAUCUGUUAUUUUUCUACAUUGUUGAAGCAUAUGAUAAAAAGACCAUAACAUGUCAUUUUUCAUAUCGCAUGUAUUAUCAACCCUCGGUCAAUAUCAGCCCUCGAGCCAUGGCGGCUCUUGGGCUGAUAUUGAACUUAGGGCUGAUAAUACAUGCGAUAUGAAAAAUGCCAUGUAAUAAUCUGAUAUUAUUUUUUUAUUUAGUAUUACCAAUAUUCUUUAUUCUUUAUAUUUUAGCACCCCAUUAUACUUUUUUUCUUUUUUUCUUUUUUGCAUUUCAUUCUGCAAUUUUUUGCCCAUUAUUCUAUAUUCCGUAAACCCCAAUCAGACCCUCUUUUAUGGAACAUUUUAAAAUGAAAUUAUACUUUGUAAAAAAUAUGAUACAUGAAUAACAAUUACUAAUUCAGACAAAAAUACAUUGUAAGGUACAUGAACGCAAAAAUGGUAAAAAACUUAAAAAUAGAAAUCAUCAGGGUUACUGUCUACAAGUCGACGCAAUAAAAGAUGUGAUUGAAGCUAUAUUUUUUUUACCCCCCCCCCCCCUUCCUCAACUACCCUUGUACGUCUGUCCGCCCGUCAUUCCGUCUGGCCGCCAGUCCUUCCGUCCGUCCGUCCCCCUUUAUAGUUAUUCCGCAAAACAUCUACAGUUUGAAUCCUAGAACGUUUUCACAGUAAAUUACGCAGACAAACUGACAUCUUUGUUAAUAUCUUUUUUGUUCUGUAUAAAAUUUAUUGUAUACAAGUCUACAAAAACGUUUUAAAAAGUUUACUAAAUGGUUAUUGUUCCAUAAUUGUACAUAUGUAUGCUCGAAGUAUAUAUAGAAUCAGUACAUGAUACAUAACAUGCGACAAAUAAAAGGGGGGGGGGUAGUAAUAACAGGAAACUAAAUUAAACUAAGGCUUGUAUGGAUGUAAACUUCAAUAAAACUGGAAGUUACAUAAGGGGGACAGGAAAAUAAGAAUAUAUUGCAUCACUUACAACAACCUUUAAAUUGACCAGUGAUUUUUUAUUCAUUACUGACCAGCAACACCGAGAUAAUCCAACGAUUUUUUAAGGGUCCGUAUUAAGUGUGGACCUAAAUGUUCUUUAUCUUUGAAUAUAACGC
rnacentral:lncRNA from 1 species